AUUAUACUUCCUCCGUCCGAAAAUACCUGUCAUCAAAAUGGACAAAAAAGGAUGUAUCUAAAACUAAAAUACAUCUAAAUACAUCCCUUUUAUCCAUUUUGAUGACAAGUAUUUCUAGACGGAGGGAGUAUAUA
rfam:Triticum urartu cultivar G1812 contig418093, whole genome shotgun sequence.